GGCGGACGGGUGAGUAACGCGUGGGUAACCUGCCUCAUACAGGGGGAUAACAGUCGGAAACGAUUGCUAAAACCGCAUAACAUAGCGAAACCGCAUGAUUUUGCUAUCAAAUAUUUAUAGGUAUGAGAUGGGCCCGCGUCUGAUUAGCUAGUUGGUGGGGUAAUGGCCUACCAAGGCGACGAUCAGUAGCCGGCUUGAGAGAGUGACCGGCCACAUUGGGACUGAGACACGGCCCAAACUCCUACGGGAGGCAGCAGUGGGGAAUAUUGGACAAUGGGGGAAACCCUGAUCCAGCGACGCCGCGUGAGUGAAGAAGUAUUUCGGUAUGUAAAGCUCUAUCAGCAGGGAAGAUAAUGACAGUACCUGACUAAGAAGCCCCGGCUAACUACGUGCCAGCCGCCGC
rnacentral:rRNA from 1 species